rnacentral:rRNA from 1 species
GUCCCGCAACGAGCGCAACCCUUGUCCUUAGUUGCCAGCACGUAAUGGUGGGAACUCUAAGGAGACCGCCGGUGACAAACCGGAGGAAGGUGGGGAUGACGUCAAGUCAUCAUGGCCCUUACGACCAGGGCUACACACGUACUACAAUGGUGGGGACAGAGGGCUGCAAACCCGCGAGGGUGAGCCAAUCCCAGAAACCCCAUCUCAGUCCGGAUUGGAGUCUGCAACUCGACUCCAUGAAGUCGGAAUCGC